CUACCUCACCUUGCUGUAGCUUACACUGUAUGUCCCAGGGUGAAACCCCAAGACAAUGGAGGAGGGCCAAGUCAUGAUCUGAAGCACCAACUCAGCUGGGAACCAAAUUUGAGGUGAAGUUGUGGGACCCCAUCCACUCCUCACCGGAUUGUAUCCACAUCUUUAUCUGUCUUAUUGUUGCUCAAGCUCUAUGUCCCAAGAUGAAAUCCCAAGAUGAUGAAAGAGUGCCUUUUCACGACGUGACGCAACUGCUUGGCUGGAACUGAAUUCGUGAUAAAUUCAAGGGGCAAUGUGGACAGGAUUUCUACUGUCUCUUAGUGGGUUG
rnacentral:lncRNA from 1 species